AGAUACCCACAAACUGUUGUCUCUACCUAAUGAAUUUAUUUUAUUGCUUUAUAAAAUCUAAUUUUAAAUGCAUAAGUGCCAAGAAUUUUAAAAGCACACAAAGUUUUAAUUACUAAGUCUGCUCAAAUCCUAAAUCAGUAUGCAAUUUAAGUUGAAGUCAUUAAGUUUCUGUUAGAGAGUUGUAAGGCUAAUUUAUACUUGGGUGCUCGGUGAUGUCUGGACCUACACAAGCUAAGGCUUUAGAUUCUCCAAAAUACUGCUAAAACUAGUAGUUUCCAAGAAUUGGUCAGAUAAGACCUAAUCACUGAUUCAAAAUCAUCCUACCUUG
rnacentral:lncRNA from 1 species